ensembl:lncRNA
UUUUCCUCUAUUAUAUAGUCUAUAUUAUUUACAAUGUUACUAAACAAUAUUCUGUAUGUAAAAAGUGAUAAUAGUUUGUGGGACACUUCCUGCUUAGCAACUUCUCAAGCGGAGUGUGGCUUGAAGAGGACUGCAACAACAGCACUGUCACAACAUUAUUGACCAACAUCUUCCUCUGCAAUAUGAGUUUCUUCCAUACCAAGUGAAAACCAGACCCUUCCCCUGAAAGGCAGGGCAAGUUCUGACAGUCUGCCCAGAAGUAGCACAAGAGGAAUAAAAUGCAUGUUCUCUGGUUUCUGUGCUGUGAUAUUAAGGGGGAUCAGGAUUCCUCACUGGGAGGCCUGACCCUGCCAACCUGGAAAUACACCCCAGCAACAUUGCACCAAGUGGUUCCAAGGCUUAUGCUGCUCCUACUGAAACCAGCAACUUCAAGUGGGAACAGUAAUGAGCCAGGAGACAAGUAAAAUGCAGUACAGUUACUGGGGGGCCCUCAUGGACCUUCUCUUUGAAACAAACAUACACAAAGAUCUCGGCAUUUCCAUAGGUGUAACUUUAUCCAGCACAGUAUAUUCUGUAAGAGAACUGCAGCUGAAGAAUGAAGCACAAUAAAAAAUGGUUUUCUUUUGUCUUAAAUAGAGAAAACUCUAUGAUCAGGACUAGCUAAAAUCCUUCAUCAUAAUCAGUAAGCCUGGUACUACUUAACUGAUGGUUAGACUGGUUUAUAGCCAUCUUUUAUAACAUGCAUGUAUAUGAGACACAUACAAUUUCCAGCCUUGCUGCACUACUGCAAUUUCAUUAGAAAGUCACAGCUCUAUCAGAUCAAACCAAGCAAUUUUAGUUUCUGUGGCAUUUCCAGAUUCCAAAUGUGAACUCCAUCUUUCUCCACCUAGGAAUCCAACCCAGUCAGUGCAAUAAAUUCAUAAAGGGAGUUACACCACAGAGAUGGGGAAUCUUGGCUCCUAAAAUCAAGGAGAAUUUUUACCCAGGAUAUUCAAGGUUCAUAUUCACCUAAGAACUGCCAUAAGAGAGAGGAAGGUCAACAAAAAGUUCUGCAGCAAAGCUUUUAAACAGCUACAUUCUCCAAGUCUGAAUGGGAAGUGAAAUUUAGUGCUUGGGAAGUAACUUAAGAGGUGUCAUACCCAUCAAUAUUCAAGGGAGUGUUAAGAGGGAAAGAGCCACAAUUGCUUAUUACAGCUACACCUAUGGAUGUGCCCAUGCUGACUUGGAAAAAGACUCUGCAGUACUGAACAGAACCAAAAUCAUGUUGUCAGUGAGAGUUCAAAUGCUAGAUCAGUGGUGAGGAAACUACUUGCUUGACAGCUCAAGUGUUGAAAAAACAAGUUAAUCAGAGAGUGUCUUCAUGAAUAAAAUAAAUUCCAGUUUGAAAGAACCGCUUUAGCAAAACUGGUACAAAUUUGUAAAUAAGCAAAAGUUCAGGAUUUCCUUCUUUGCUGUGACAGCAAGACAGACACACACACCUACAUAUAUUUAAAAUUUGUAACUGAGUACACACGCAAUUUGGGAAUUCUGUUUAAAGUCAGUUUCUGAAACCUGUUGACAAGAUGAUCUAUAAGGAACCGUCACACCAGGGAAGAUGUAAUACUUUACAAUCAACAUUCAGUCAAAGUUUGUAUAGUCAUGCAGUUCCCCACAGUAAGAUAAGCUACACAUGAGAAUUUUUGUUUAUGCUUUCUCAAAAGAGAAGACUUCAGAGACUGUCUAAUAGGCUAUUAAAAUCAUAUGGCACUUUCAAUAAAUACUUUAAAGCUUCUUAAAGAAAUUAGGAUAAAAAAAAGCAACUGCUGUAAUAAGCCUGUUUUAGCCACAACACAUAAUGCUGAAGGAAAAAAUCCAGAACAGCAAACAGAUAAUAACAGUUAAAAGACAGUACAGCUUUUUUCUUUCUGCAGCUAUAUGAACUAGUUCCCAUUCCUGGGGAAAUGGGAGCAAGCCAACCUUGAAACAAGUAUUCACUCAAUCUUAACUGCUCUACGCUCCACCCCAACCCUUACAUCACUUCACUUCUAAAACAUAGUCACAUUUUUAUAUAAAUCUCAGUGCAGAAAUGUAUUAAACAUGAAAAAUACUGAUCCUGCAAACGUUUACAACCACGCUUAACAUUAAGUGAGCGCCUAACAUCAUGACACCAGAAGAGCUACCUACAUGCUUAAUGCUAAGCACAGGUAUGUUGCAGCAUCAGGCCCAAAGAUGCCAACCCCCACCGGGGACAUCACUUGGUCAAAAUGUUUUCGUUCUGUCUGGUUUUGUCAAGGUGUUCUCAACAGAAGCACAUCAAGAAACAGAAACUUCCAAACCUACACACGGAAAUACAGUUACAUGUGGGUACAGACUAAUAUGCAAUAUACAUUCAGUAACUUGAAAGAAUAGGUUAAGACUUUAUUCAGAUAGACAAAUUAAGGCAAUUAUCUUAAUGUCUCUUCAAGAUAAAGGACCAUGUCCUCAUCUGUGACCUCUAGGUUUUAAAGCUAUAUUUUUUAAGAAAUAUAUUUUAAUUUUCUUUAUAUUUUCUCCAAUCAGCCAUUUUGUUUGCUUAAUAAAUUAUAUCUGUGCAAGGGUGCACGCUGACAAUUUGGCAGUGGCAAGAAGCCCAAUUCGUUUAUAUAAUACACACUUUUUACAUUUUUGUUACAGGGUGAUUAGUUUAGGACUGCAUUUUGGCUUAACACAAAGGAAAAUUUAGAAGUUCUGGCCAUCCAAUGGACAUAACUUUGUCAGUCUAGCAAGACACAGAAUUCAUGUUAUAUUCAAAGUAAAAAAAAAAAAUAAAAUAAAAGAAUAAUAAAAGAAAAAAAAAAGAU